GAUGGUAUGAGGUGAAAGUUCAAGUGAUUACUGUCACAGCCCGUCCCGGAAUUUUAAUUCCGAGAACGUGAAAAGACGAAAAUGUCCCUAAACGGGACUAAAGUGCGUAAUUUGGACACUUGUUUUUACUUAAGGUUCUUAAACUUUGGUGAAUUAGAAUAUUAAUUGGUUUUAGAAACCUAAACCAAGACUUAUACUUAGGUUUCUAUGUUAAAAGUUUGAAAUUGGGAUUGGGUUGGACACGUAGGAUCCCUACAUCCCUCAAAACCUUCCCCAAUUCCCGUACCUUGUCCCUCUCUCUCUCCUCCCUCACGAUUUCUCUCAUUCUCUGUCUCUCUCCUUCGAACUCAAACGGAUGAGACCCAAAGACCGUCGAAACUACUACCAACGACGGAGUUAAGACCACCAUCGAACUCCUGGAACCUCCACGAUCACGUAGACACCAUUUUCAGGUAAGGAAUCCUUCGUUUUCGCGUUGAAAACUCGAGGUCCGAGUUUGGCACUAUUCAUGAACUUUUUGUCGGUUGAUUUUUAGGACAAUCCAAGCUCAUAGUGAGCUUAGUGAGGUCCCAAGGAAGCUCGGAGUGCUUCGUUGGAAGUUUUUGGAUGUAAGAACACGGAGAUCGACAAGUUCAAAGUUUGGCCGGAGCUUUCGAGGCUCUUUCCGGCGAAUCCCCGGCAAUUUAGGAGUUGAGGUAGGUAUCAAUCUCUUCGUCUCGUCAAGUACUACAACUUUCCUUUUUGUUUCACUCAAUUUCGUUGAGUAUUGAAGAAGUUAUACUCAUUUGAAUCUUACCCAGUUUCCGGCGACCUCCGAGGCUUUCGAGGAAGUUUCCGGCCAAAAAACGGCGAACUAGGUGUUGUGCAAGGUACCAUUCUCUUUGUCUCUUCAAGGGCUACAACUUUCGUUUUUGAAUCACUUGAUUUCGUUGAGAAAUGACAAAGUUAUGGCAAUUUGAAAAACUGCCCAGAAAACGGCCGCCGGAAAAACCAGUCCGGCGACCCAAGGAAGAAGAAGGUGCGCGUGGGGGGCGUGGACCCGUGCCUUCCUUGGCUCGUGGGGGCGCGUGCUACAGUAAAAAAUUAUUUUAAAAAUAUGUCGACGUCCGUGACGUCGAGUAGAUCACUGUGGUAUAUUCAUAUACCCAAAUUGAACACCGUAUGAGAAAGUUAUUGAGGAUUGUUGGUUAGGUGUUCAAAUAACAUUUUAUAAUUUUCGCAUUAGGUGAAAAUAUGAAUUGAUGAUCCGACCGUUGGAUCGUCACCAAACUUUGAUACGUUGUAAUACGUAAUAUUUGAGGAUUAUAGGAACUUACGGAUUGGGAAUCCGAUUUACGGAUCUUCCGGAAUUGGAGUUGUAAGUCCAUAAUAUAAAAUGUUAACCGUCACUUAGUUUUGGAAAUUGACGGAGAUCCGACCGUUGGAUGGUGAUGAAAUUUUAGGAUGUUGUCCUAGAGAUAUAUUGUGGACCUCUGGAAGUUAUGGAUUUAAAAUCUGAGUGGCAGAUCUUCCGGAUCGAUCUACGUAGGGACGUAUUUUAUAUAAGUUAUAUAUUCUAUCGAUAUGAAUUCUGAGGUUGGAUUUGAUUACUGUUCUAGGCGGCGAUCGUCAUGACGCCUUGAUGUGUGGUGCUAGGGAGUUGUUGGACGAACUCCAGGUGAGUGGGCAGUUUUGUUUUCCGUAUAUAUAUAUACUUGACGUUUUCCCAGAAAUUGAAUUAGAAUGAAAUUAUGUUUUAAAUGAAAGGUAUAUAGAAUUAUAUGAAAACGUGAAUUGAAAGGUCAUGCAUAGAAGUAUAUGAAAUAUAUAUGGAAAUGUGAAUCGAAUUGCCAUGCAUGAAAUGAUAUGAAUUGAUAUAUGAUGCAUAUGUAUGAAUUGGUGCAGCGGACGCACAGGUGAGUAUCAGGUGAGUAUUUAAAUACUGUUAUGAUGAUGUUGAUAUAUAUUGAGCUCAAAUCCUGCACCAUGGUUUAGUGCUUAUAGUAUUCACCGCAUCGCACGCUCGCCUUGGAUCCAAGUAGAUGCUGGUCGCACAGUCCACGCGGAGUGGGUGCGACGGGCCAGUCGAAGAGUGUUAGUGAGAUUUCGACUGGUGGGUGACCUUAGAUUAUGUGCACAAAUGAUUGAUGAGAGAAGCACUAGAGCGUAAUAUUACCAUGAGUCGUACAUACUACAUUAGGUGGUUCCGACUGAUGUGCAGAAGGCCGGACAGGUCACAGAGGUGACUUCGACAGAGUGUGAGAGUGAUAGAUUUUGAGCUCUAGGUUCAACCGUACAGGGCUAUUAGAGGGCCUACGGUUGAUUACUUUCUUGCACCUGAUAUGAUUAUUGUUGAUGCAUCCAUACUUAACUGUUGAAUUAGACAUGGCAUGACAUGAUUGAUAAAGAAAUUGUUGAGAUAGUAAAAAUGAAGUUUUGAGAAUAUAUAUGUAUAUUUAUAUUUUACAUUUCUGGGAAACUAUACAAGUUUUACGGAGAGGGAUUACAACGUUUUGAGAAAUGUUUGGAUUUGGAAAAGAAUUGUUUUACUGACCUACUCAAUUUUGGUUUUGCGCUCAUCCAGGUUCAGGAAUCACAAAGGUGUGGUGACUACGAGGAAUUCGACGGUGUUCUGACAGAUUGGACAAAAAUUAGGACUCACCUUCGGGUGUAUCAACUUAUAAAUUGUAUCUUAAAGCUUCCGUACUGUGCAAAUGGUUACGUCACUCUCACGUGACGGCCAGCAUGCCCUCCUUCGGGACGGGGUGUGUCAAUUACACUUCGUAGAUUUUUACAAAAUAUUUUUCAGAGGUCAUAUGAAUUUAUAGUGAAUUUUAAAAAGAAAUAACGGUGUUAGACAUAUAAUAUAAAAUAUAUUGGUUGAAUAAUACACUAUUCCUUUAUUAAAUAAAAUGUUAGGUGGCACAACAACC
rnacentral:lncRNA from 1 species